rnacentral:rRNA from 1 species
CCCAAAACCAAGCCUAAUCUUACCUGCAUACACCCUAUACCCACCCACACAAUGAAUUGAUAAAACAUUUUAACUAUUUAGUAGAGGUGAUCAAAAAAUAAAUUAGAGCCUCAUAAGAAGUACCGCAAGGGAAUGGUGAAAUAAAUAUGAAAUAGCUUUAAAGCGUACUAUAGCAGAGUAAUCCCCUCGUACCUUUUGCAUCAUGGUUUAGCCAUCUUUAUCAAGCAAAGCGAGACACAAGUUUGAUCCCCCGAAAUUGGGCGAGCUACUUCGAAACAGCUUUUAGAGCCAACCCGUCUCUGUUGCAAAAGAGUGGGAUGAUUUCCAAGUAGUGGUGAUAAGCCUAUCGAGCCCAGAGAUAGCUGGUUAUUCAGAAAAAGAAUAUUAGUUCUACCUUAAGCUUAAUAAUUAUAACAAAAAUAACUGUAAACUUAAGAGUUAUUCAAAUAAGGCACAGCUUGUUUGAAAAAGGACACAACCUAGAAUAAUGGGUAAGUAACCCCCUAUACGACGCUAAGUGGGCCUGAAAGCAGCCACCUUUAAAAAAGCGUUAAAGCUUAGUUCUUCUUCCAAUUUAUAAUCCCUUCAUUAUAUACGAACCCUCAACCAAAACUGAAUAAUCCUAUAAUUAUAUAGGAGAUAUAAUGCUAAAACUAGUAACAAGAAGAAGACCUUCUCCAAAAUGCAAGCAAAACCCAACUUAGACUAACUAUUGGCUAUUAACGCCUAUGACCUUAAUAUAGUAACUGACCCUAGCAAACCCUAUACACUACGACGUUAACCUUACACAAGAGCAUUCCUGGAAAGAUUAAAAGAAAAAGAAGGAACUCGGCAAAUUCAGGCCUCGCCUGUUUACCAAAAACAUCGCCUCUUGUUUUUUCAUAAGAGGUCCAGCCUGCCCAGUGACACAAUUAAACGGCCGCGGUACCCUGACCGUGCGAAGGUAGCAUAAUAACUUGUUCUUUAAAUGGGGACUAGCAUGAACGGCACCACGAAGGCCUCACUGUCUCCUUUUUCCAAUCAGUGAAACUGAUCUCCCCGUGAAGAAGCGGGGAUAAUAAUAUAAGACGAGAAGACCCCAUGGAGCUUUAAACCCAAUGAGCAACCCUAAUCAACACAACUCAUCUAAAUUCUUUCUCCCCUGCUUUUUGGUUUUAGGUUGGGGUGACCACGGAGUAAAACAUAUCCUCCACGACGUACGGGAUUAACCCUUAUCCAAGAGCCACCGCUCUAAGAAUCGACAAAUUGACGUUUUUUGAUCCAAUAUAUUGAUCAACGAACCAAGUUACCCUGGGGAUAACAGCGCAAUCCAUUUUUAGAGCCCCUAUCGACGAAUGGGUUUACGACCUCGAUGUUGGAUCAGGGUACCCAAGUGGUGCAGCCGCUACUAAUGGUUUGUUUGUUCAACAAUUAAAAC